GGUUCCAUAGCUCAGUUGGUUAGAGCGCCGUGCUAAUAACGCGGAUGUCGAGGGUUCGACCCCCUCUGGGACCA
rfam:Penicillium decumbens strain IBT 11843 PENDEC_contig014, whole genome shotgun sequence.